GCUGGCCGCGGCGAGAGCGACCGCCUUGCUGGCUGGCUCGCUCGCUCGCUGCUGCCGCCGCUGCUGCUGCCCCUGCUGCGGCCGCCGCUGGCGCGAGCCCUGCCGUGGUGGCGGCGUGGCCGCGAUGGGCGUGCGGCGCUGGCUGCUGGCGCUGCUGCUGCUGUGGUUGGCUCUCGGCUCGGCCUCCGGAGGCCCACUCUCUGAAGCAACUGAUGGGAAGGAACCCAUGGAAGGACACACCUUGAAUCUGGUGCACCCCAAAGAGAUCCGGAGCAUUGGGGGGCACCGGCACAAUGGUUGGCGGAAGUAUCGGCGUCCUCGCCCACGUCUUUCGCAUAAAGGGCCCAUGCCUUUCUAGCACAGGAUCAAUGACUGCCUGGGAAAGACCUGCCCUGUUGUGUCCUCUCUGCUUGAUCAACUCUGCUUGUAAAGGGCUUCCAUCCAUGGCAGAGCUUGAUCCAGAGCUGUCUGAUCUGGGAAGCCCUGAGUGGGGGGGAGUGUGUGAGUCCAGCAUUUCCGCCUUUUAUUGUCUCGUGGAACCUCCUGCUCAGGCUGGUGACACUUCUCUGUCUCUCUCUCCCGGCCAUGAAAGCUCGAAGGAUGCAAGGACGACUCAGAAUGUGGGGAGGGUAGAGAGGAAGGAAGGGGUAGCAUUGGAUCUCUGCCUUGCUGGCACAGAAGUUAGAUUGAGGGCAUGGCAUAUUGGAGGACACCUGUGUGUCCCCCUAGCUGGUUGCAAGGCCUUCCUCCACCAGUGCUGCCCUGGAGUCCAAGGCCCUUUGGCUGGUGAGAAGCACUUUGUCAGAUCAGCAUCCCCUCUCAGGUGCCCGCUGUGUCCCCUUUCGCAUUCCUCCCAUCACAGCAUUCCCGAGAGCAGAGUUUCCUCGAUUGCACAAAAUGCGGCAUUAAACAGCUACAGCUUUUCUCCCUUAGAUGCUGAAGUUGAGCUGCUCAAUUUCUGCCCGCCCUGCAGCACUUAGAUACAGGAGGCCUGCCAGCAGGGGGUGGGAAAGGGGCAGACCUAGUUGGGGCACUCAUCCUGCGCCUGCCUUCUGCUGGACUUCUUCCAAGUCUCAAGCCGAGUCUUUCACGGUGCAAAAUGGACUUCCUGCCCAUGGCCCCUUUCCAAUCACACACUGCUUUCAAAAAACUGUCCUGCACAAGACCAUCCACGUGCCUUUCCCCCCACCAAGUUCUGACCAACUGAGAUGGGCCCAUUACCUACGGUCUUCUCCACCCUUCAGUGAGCCAGGAUGCAGCUUCCUGCCUGACUUCCCCCCCUUUCUAUGGUAGCAGCUGCAGCGAACAGAUGAAGUUACAUUGCUCGCAGUCCGAAGGAAAGCCCAGCUAAAGUCAGAGGGGAGGAGUUAGGUUCAGAUCAGGUGCUGCGGUCAGUGGCCUUCUGCAAACGGCUCUUUCCUCCUCUCUUGCCAAGAUGGGUUAAUAAUGCGGGCCUACCUUACCAGGAGGUUAAGAUGAUUGAAACAGAUGUGGAAGCUCUUUCAGUGCAUGAAAUGUGCUCUCUAAGUGGUAUUAGUGUUGCAACUGCAUUUUGGCUUGGAGGAACCUUCUUCCUGACAUCUGCUUGGGGCUUCAGCACUUGCAAGGCAUCCCUGGGUUGUAAGAGAGGUUGCCUGUGGUCUUCCUGUUUUGCACUUGUGUGUGUGGGGGGGGGGGGAGUGUUGGGUUAUGGGGAGGUGCUGUGGCAGCUUUGUAAAGAACACUAAUUUAUACCAGCCAGGGACAUCUAAUUGUUUAAACCUUUGUUGGUACUGGGUUACCAGUGUGUGUAUCUGUAAAGUUUCGUUCUAUGUAAAUAUAGCUUUAUAAUAAAGAGAUACAAAAACAAUAAAAUCUUAUUUUUUUGUCUGGA